rnacentral:rRNA from 1 species
GUCAUGGCUACAGUGAUACGGGUACGGGGAUCAGGGUUCGAUUCCGGAGAGGAAGCCUGAGAAACGGCUACCACAUCCAAGGACGGCAGCAGGCGCGCAAAUUACCCAAUCCAGAUACUGGGAGGUGGUGACGAGAAAUACCAGGUCGUUCCCACAAGGAUUCGACACUGGAAUGAGUUCAGUUUAAAUAUUUGUUCGAGUAACAACUGGAGGGCAAGUCUGGUGCCAGCAGCCGCGGUAAUUCCAGCUCCAGUAGUAUAUUCUAACGUUGCUGCGGUUAAAACGCUCGUAGUUGGACAAUAGAGCGACUUGGUGCGGGCGGGGAGUGUAAUCAUUUCAUGUUAUUUCUUUAUAAUUGGUAUAAUUAUAUUAUAAUAUGUAUAAUAUAUGUAUUAUGAUUUUUUAUAUUUAAUUAUAAAAGUAAAUGCAUAAAUAGCACUUUUCAAUCAUGCUGCUAGGUCGCUCAAAAUAUUUCGUGAGAAUAGCAUAUGGCCUUAAUUGUGCUGUAUGUUUUAUCUUACGUAGUGUGCCUUGAAUAAAUCAUAGUGCUUAGAGCGAGCUAAUGCUUGAAUGUUAAUAGCAUGGAACGAAUGUUUUGUGAAUGUAUAGUAUAUUAUAAUGAUGUGUAAAUGUUAUUAUGUAUAUAUAUAGCGCCAACCACGAAGCGGAUCAUUGGUUACCGACUUCGGGUGAUGAUUAAGAGGGGCAUUUGGGGGCAUUAGUAUUUGGUCGCGAGAGGUGAAAUUCUUAGACCGGCCAAGGACUAACAAGUGCGAAAGCAUUUGCCAAGUAUGUUCCCUUUAAUCAAGAACGAAAGUGAGAGGUUCGAAGACGAUCAGAUACCGUCCUAGUUCUCACCGUAAACGAUGCCAACCCGGGAUCAGUUCGGAUGAUUUAUAUUAUGGAUCCAGGUUGGUCCCCCUGGGAAACCUUGAGUUUUUAGGUUCCGGGGGGAGUAUGGUUGCAAGGCUGAAACUUAAAGGAAUUGACGGAAGGGCACCACCAGGAGUGGAGCCUGCGGCUUAAUUUGACUCAACACGGGAAAACUCACCUGGUCCGAACAUCGAUAGGAUUGACAGACUAAUAGAUCUUUCAUGAUACGGUGGGUGGUGGUGCAUGGCCGUUCUUAGUUCGUGGAGCGAUCUGUCAGGUUAAUUCCGAUAACGAACGAGAUAACGUUCUUCAUUUAGGGGAUUGCAAUGCUUGAUAAUGUACUUAUGUAUUACUGCUUUUUGUGGUAAUGUAUAAUUGCCUAUUAAUUGUUGUGAUUUACGUGCUAUGUACGUCCCUAUGAAGAGACAGCCGGAAAUUAAGCCGGAGGAAGCGUUGCAAUAACAGGUCUGUGAUGCCCUUCGAUGUUCAGGGCCGCACGCGCGCUACAAUGAUAACGACAGCGAGAGUCUGGACUGAAAAGUUCUGGGUAAUCUUGGUAAUCGUUAUCGUGAUUAGGAUUGAGCAUUGUAAUUGUUGCUCAUGAAAUAGGAAUUCCUUGUAUUUGCGACUCACUCAGGUCGCAAAGAAUGCGUCUCUGCCCUUUGUACACACCGCCCGUCGCUACUACCGAGUGAAUAGUGUCAUGAUAUCUUGGGACUGGAUGUUGUUGGCAUAUAAUGUGCGGACGAUGCUAGGAGCAAGCUAGAAUGCGCAAUUCAGGUG